rnacentral:rRNA from 1 species
GCCCGCUCAGAAACUCAAAGGAAUUGACGGGGCCCGCACAAGCGGAGGAGCAUGUGGUUUAAUUCGAUGAUACGCGAGGAACCUUACCUGGGCUCGAACGUAAGAUGACUGUAGGUGAAAGCUUACAUCUCUUCGGAGCAUUUUACGAGGUGCUGCAUGGUUGUCGUCAGCUCGUGCCGUGAGGUGUCGGGUUAAGUCCCAUAACGAGCGCAACCCUACCUUUAGUUGCCAUCAGGUAAUGCUGGGGACUCUAAAGGAACUGCCUACGCAAGUAGUGAGGAAGGCGGGGAUGACGUCAAAUCAGCACGGCCCUUACGUCCAGGGCUACACACGUGCUACAAUGGCCGAUACAGAGGGCAGCUACCUGGUGACAGGAUGCAAAUCUCCAAAGUCGGUCUCAGUUCGGAUCGGAGUCUGCAACCCGACUCCGUGAAGUUGGAUUCGCUAGUAAUCGCGCAUCAGCCAUGGCGCGGUGAAUACGUUCCCGGGCCUU